UCGCAUGACGAAGUCUGACGGAGCAACGCCGCGUGAGUGAUGAAGGCUUUCGGGUCGUAAAACUCUGUUGUUAGGGAAGAACAAGUGCUAGUUGAAUAAGCUGGCACCUUGACGGUACCUAACCAGAAAGCCACGGCUAACUACGUGCCAGCAGCCGCGGUAAUACAA
rnacentral:rRNA from 1 species